AUUGAACGCUGGCGGCAGGCUUAACACAUGCAAGUCGAGCGGGGAAAGGUAGCUUGCUACCUGACCUAGCGGCGGACGGGUGAGUAAUGCUUAGGAAUCUGCCUAUUAGUGGGGGACAACGUUCCGAAAGGAACGCUAAUACCGCAUACGUCCUACGGGGGAAAGCAGGGGAUCUUCGGACCUUGCGCUAAUAGAUGAACCUAAGUCGGAUUAGCUAGUUGGUGGGGUAAAGGCCUACCAAGGCGACGAUCUGUAGCGGGUCUGAGAGGAUGGUCCGCCACACUGGGACUGAGACACGGCCCAGACUCCUACGGGAGGCAGCAGUGGGGAAUAUUGGACAAUGGGCGCAAGCCUGAUCCAGCCAUGCCGCGUGUGUGAAGAAGGCCUUUUGGUUGUAAAGCACUUUAAGCGAGGAGGAGGCUCCUUUAGUUAAUACCUAAAGAGAGUGGACGUUACUCGCAGAAUAAGCACCGGCUAACUCUGUGCCAGCAGCCGCCGCCGUA
rnacentral:rRNA from 1 species